CAGAUGCGCACUGAGCACCCACCAUGCUCAGGGCCUGCUUCUCACGGGGUUUAUUAUUAAAGAACCCUAAGAAGCUCCUGACAUCCACAAGAACAUUCUCCAUGAAGUCCCUCGACCACACGUUGUGGCAAAGAGAGCAUUCCCUGGACUGGCGAGGCGGCGUGCUGUCUGGGGCUGUCUGAGACUGUCUGGGACAAUGGCUCUGGCAGCGGCCUCUGUGGCCGGCAGGUUGUGCCACAAGACAGGUUGGUCUUGUGAGACGCUGCUCGUCUGGGACCUGAGUGGCCUCUGGACAGUCCCCAGGAGCACCUGGAGAGUCAGACCGGGCCUCACCUCUUGCCUCCCCUUUUGAAGUCUGGGGACAGAGUGGAGCCCCGCUGUUCCGCAUGGGAAGCGUGAGUGUUGAAAGAUCAGAACCUUUAUGUCAGUUUUACACAAAUAAUUUUUCCAUCAGGUAAAAUGACAAACGACACCACUGCAAGUGUGGCAGUGACAGAAUUUAAAAUGCCUACUCUGAAAGGCAGGAGCCUGCAGUUGCAGAAUCACCGUGAUUCUCCCAGGCAGGGUCAAGAAUUCUAGCUCUUAGAAGUUUGCCGCCUGCAAAUUCCUAAAUCCCCUGCAAGGUAAGAGAGGGACUGGCGGAGCCUGAAGAACGAAGUUACAUGUUAAUACCUCCAUAGGCCUCGUGACCAACAAAAAAGGACUGAAAGUGAAAAAGCGAAUCCUGUGUUUGAAGACCUUUGUAUAUUCAAGUUGUCUUUUCCUUCGUUUCAUUUUCUUUCAUUUUAACUUUCACAAAAGUCGCUAUUUAUUACUCAUGCACAUAAAUAUCUCUACUCCUGACUCAAGCUGGCAACCUAUGGAGAUUUAGGGUAUUCACGACCCCCAGCAAACAGCAGCGCUCAGCGGAGCAGCUGUCUCUGAAUGGAGCUGAUGUCUGGGAGUGCUGCACUCCGAUGAGCCAAUGGAAGUCUCUAUCAUCUUGAAUCUUCACUGUGUUAACUGUGAAGUGCCUGAAUCUGGGGGGACUGGGCCCUCACAGCCGCCAGGUGAGGGGGACCCUCUUCCCUCUCCUCUGGGUGAAGAGGUCCCAGCUCACACAAGUCACCCCUGGUAAGAGGCAGAGUCCACAGCAGGACCUGGGUAGAAGCCAAAGGCAACACUCCCUACCCCACACAUGGGUUCCUCUCAAGUAAAUCACCAGCGGGGCGAGGUGCACACAGCGUCUAGGAAGACAGGACAAACUGUUGUCACCUCCUUCAGCCAGGAGGCCCCACACGGAGCGCCACUGCCUCCACUAUCUGAUGCCACAGGGCAGACGUCAUGUGCUGGUUAAGGGAGGAGAAACUGCGGAUCAUUUUCCAUCUUAUUGGAAAUCACUCUCUGACACUUUUUCCUCAUCCUCACUAAGUACCCACCGAGUAUACCAGCAACAGUGUAAAAUAAACACAGCUUAAAGAAGUAGGAACCCUUUAUUCCUGGGACUUAAAAGCUUGACUAUCCACGGCAUUGAGUUGACAGAGAAGAGCUUGAAUCAUCAACAUGGCGUGAGUGACCACAUCCCUCACUCUGAGCCCCACUCCACAGCAGAUGACUCUGAAUCGCCCCGGCUAACGGCGUGCCCAGCAUCCUGAUGCUCUGAUUAGUCCUGAAUCACCCGAGGGCGGGCGGUGCGGUGGCUGGGCUGUCUCAGAGGGCAUCGCGGGCUGGGUGGACGAGGCUGGCCCAGAAGAGGGCAACAAGCAUUUGACAGGGAGUGGCAGGCUACCAUCUUGCCUCUUCUGCAGUUUGCGACACUUAGGGUCAUGAGUGUUUUUCCUCACACUAAGGAAGGAGACCACUACUCCUCCUGAUGCCCUCCUUCCCCCCACCUUGCCUAGUUCACAAAACAGGAAGAGAGAAAAAGCAAAAAGUUGGAAAAAAACAAAAGUAAGAUAAAUAGCCAGAUAACCUUGGCACCACCACCCGGCCCUAGGAGUUAAAAAAAGUGAUAAUAAUAACAUCAACCCCUGACCUAAACUACUUGUGUAAAUUCCAGACACUGUAUGAAAAAAGCAUUGUAAAACUUUCUGUUCUGUUAGCUGAUGCCUGUAGCCCCCAGUCACGUUUCCCACGCUUGCUUGAUGUACUACGACCCUUUCACGUGGACCCCUUAAAGUUGUAUGCCUUUAAAAAGGCCAAGAAUUUCUUUUUCAGGGAGCUCAGCUCUUAAGACUCAAGUCUGCCAAUGCUCCUGGCUGAAUAAAAACCUCUUCCUUCUUUAAUCCGGUGUUUGAGGAGUUUUGUCUGCGGCUUGUCCUGCUACAAUACAGUGGCCCGAAAGGCAAGGAAACUCCCGCAAGCGUUCAGAAAGGCUGCGGGUUUUUCAGGUAACAUUUCUGCAGCCACUGAUGUCUGACCCAAAGAGCUCUGAAUGCUUGCCAGAGAGAUGUGUAGUUCUAAUCCCAAAGCCCUGAAUGUUCUGAUUUCCUCAUUAAGACUGACUUAACAUGAGCUAUUUAGUCAGCUGAGUUAUCAACUGAAGAAAGUAACCGGUGUUUCCCACUUAUUUUCUUCUGUGGUUGUUUGAAAACAGCCGUGGUGUGGACAGAGUUCAUGCAGCCUUGAUGGUGGUGUGUCCCCAGCUCCACGCACGCACUAAACCUUUAAUUCAUUUCAGCAUAAAUAAGUUAAUGAAUAUGCAUACAUGAAUAAAUUAACUGGCAUAGUUUUAGUCCUAUUGAAGUUUUAAACUCACCAAUUUAUCCAACUUCUCUGCACUGAGUUUUUAUUCAAGUGAACUAUUCCAGUCUUGUGACUUCUGAUAUAAUAAUAGUAACGACUAAUAUUUAUUAGAACUUUAGUUUACCAAGCACUCCACAUUUUAUUUUUACAUUUUGUCUUCACAAACCCCCAUGAGACAGGCAUUCUCACCACUCGCAGUGUUGAUUGGCAUGCAGAGGCUCAGGGGUUUAAAUGGUUUCACUGAAGCAAUGUGAUCCGGUAGGAUGUUGCUUUCCUAUUCCUCCUAAUACCACCGUGUUCAGACAUGGGCAGCCGAGUGAGAAUAGAUCAUUUCAUGUGUGUGUAUAGACGUAACCUACACUCACAGGCGGAAAGCUGUGCAGGCUGAGAAGUGAAGCCCUCGGCUGAAUGACCAACAACAGCGUUCUAGGACCCCUUGUCCUUGCUCCGCAGGCUACACCCCUCACAUCUCCUCUGAACCAGAAAGAAAACUCUGCGGUUGCUUCUCCCUUUGACAGUCAGCCACAGUUCUCUUCAAUGUUCUCCUGGGGACUUGGGUCAAUGUUCUCCCGUCAAAUCUUAGCCAGGCCCAAGAUUACUGUGCCCCCCACCCCCCGCAGAUCUGUCAGGACACACUACUGCCCCAGAUGUAUUUGGUCGCCCCAUCUGUGUCCUAUCUGCCGUCCGUGCCUCUGGCCAGGCUUCUUGUGAGGUCCUGACUCACGCUGUCACUCUCAGGUUGUUUGCCUGUGGCUGGACACAUUGUUCAUAGGAGCCCAGCUGGCAAAGCAAAAAUACCUGAGACUGUGAUGGCAAGCUGCUUGUUCCCUGCAUCCUUGGCUGGCGAGAAGCUGAAGAGAAGUGAAAGCUCUACCUGUGAAGAGGCAGCAUUGCAGAAGGGAGGAGGUGGAGAUUCUGUCCUCAGUGCCUAGGGCCCUGCCUGGAUCUGGUUUUGCAGAGGGGAGGACGUAGAGAUUCUGUCCUCAGUGCCCAGGGCCCUGCCUGGAUCUGGUUUUGCAGAGGGGAGGACGUAGAGAUUCUGUCCUCAGCGCCCAGGGCCCUGCCUGGAUCUGGUUUUGCAGCUCCAGGGGAAACGUUUUGCACAAAUUCUCACUGGGAGCAUUAUCAGGGCUGCAGCACUUCAGUCUCUCCUGAUCUGAAUCCUUUUAACAUUAGCUGUGAUGCUGAGAAGGAUGAAAUUGAUGACACCAACAUCUGGUGGAAGACAAAAACCAGAGGGAUUUCCACCCAGGCAGAGCCCCUCCGCAGGCCUCCCCUCUUUGUGGCCUGAGGUCGGAGAGGCCUCUGGAGCAAGCCAGCGGAUGGAAUUCUCAGUUUUCUUCCAUUUGAUUAUUUUCCUAUUUUGACGUCUUUGAAAAAUGGCUCAGCCUUAUGGUGCAUGCGUUUUCUGAUUGCUUUUGUCUUUGUUUUAUUCUGAAUCAAGGACCGUGGCCACUGUGGGCUCCUCAUCCAGGACGUGGGGGCCCUCCGGGGCCUCAGUCCAUCCAUGCUGCAGUACAUGGUGAUUCUCAUGCAGAGGAUGAUCUCAGGGAUCAGCUUGAGCUGGCAGAGAAUUAAAUUAUAUGGUUUAUAAGAGUCCUGCCUCAGGGUCAGUGACACCAGGCCUGUCUCUGCUGCUAGCAAGGCCGACUUUCUUAUGUGCUGUCAUCGUGGUAAAAGCCUUGCCCACGUGAUGAAGACCCUGGACGGCUCUACUUGAGACAGAUUUCAGCUACGUUGCCUGGGAGUCUCUGGUACUUCUUCAAGGUUCUACUGAAGACAAUGACGUCAUCCAAGUACCUUGCAGUGCCUAAGUAGCUCUUGCCGCGGGAGCUCUGAGACCCCCUGUUAUCUAUUUUCGAAUUGGCCAAGGACCCCCGGCCAGGCAGGGGAUGCUCUGCCCAUCCUCGUCAGCCCUCGUGUCUUGUGAUCCUCCCCCAGCCUCCUGGCAAGCAUCCCUGUGCUUUCCGCGGGUGAGCGUGGCUGAGCUCAGUCUCGCUUACUACAACGGCAGGCACGAGGUCUGCGGAACUAAGAAGGCUCCUCUUUGCUCACUGGCCUUUCCUUUAAGUCCCUGGUCACUAACCUCUGGCAAGACAAUCCUUCUUGUGUUUUCUGGCGAUGGACUUGAGUGAUUACAAUGUAAGCGGUGGCUCCUCCUGGGGGCACGUCCAUUUUCUACCAUGAGGAGGGCGUUGCCCCUGCCAGGCUGCUGCUGUCCUCUCGUAUGCCCACCGGGCCGUCCCCCAAGAUGGCUUGGUACCCACACUGCCUGGGAAUUGCCACUCCUGCUUGUCCCGGACCCACCUCCCCUGCAGCCAUCCCGCACUCUUGAGGGGCCGGGCCCUGGCUGAGCGCUGUUCCUAGGCCCUGGAUGGCGGUGUGGAUCUCCGUCCUUGUCAGGGUAAUUUCCUCUUCUGUUUCCAGCAUUUCGAGUAAAUUCCUUUCUAAUCAUUAGGUGCCCUAGAGAGGACAGAUGCAUGGCUGUGGAGUCUUGUUCUGUGAUAUGUCAGGUAUGUGCUUGGGCGCGCGGAGGCUGCAGGAGGUGGACAGGAAUGGUCUUUCUCUUGCUCUGAGUCGCAUGUGUGGGCCAGCCCACGGGUUCUGUGGAGGAGAAUCCAGCUGCCCACCUGGCUGAGUCUAGCCCUGGGCUGGCGAUGGCCGAACCCCAGUUCCAUUCCCGGACCUUCCCUAGGCUGCUGGGUGGGUUCCCUGGCCACUGUCGCUGGGCUAAUCCAUUCUAUCUUCUCCUGGGGCGAGGCCAUUGCCGUGCUGUGCUGGUGCUGGCUCUUCAGGCAGCUCUUCAGCUCCGUGGCUCCCGGCCCAGCCCAGGCCUAACACAGGCCUGUCCCUAGUGUUCGUGCACUGAGCUUUGUGUCUAUUGCUGGUUUUUCUUUUCUUUUAAAACUUACUUCGCAGAAGGAAUUCGGCCUGAGCAGCUGAGCUUCCGUGGUAGCCUCUCCUGCUCAAAGCCGUCGUUUGCUCCCAUAUACCUGGCCUGCCAGUUUCCAUUCUCUCUUUCCCUUGUUUCAUCUUUUCUGCAGUAGGUCCUCUAGUUUCAACCACAGGUGUUUACAGUGUUGCAGUUUUAAUUUGUCGUUGUUGCAUUUAGUUUACUUGACGCACGUUCAAAACUGCAAAAUGCUGGUUCCUACCCGUCUCUGAUGUCACCAAAGGCUGCCCAGAGGCCUGCAGCACAUUGACGAUGGUCUUAGUAUUACACAGCUGUCUGACCAGUACCACAAAUCCAGAGUCCAAGCAGCUCAGGUUUGCCUUCUCCCUGUCUGUGUGGGUCCAGCGCCCUGGGCUCAGCAGGGCCUCCUGCUCCUGCUCCUGUAGGGUGGGCUGGGCCUUCCCACACGGGCCUGGGGAGGAGCCUCUCCUAGGUGCUGGCAGGGCCCUGGCCUUUACUUAUUCCCUCUGAUGCCAGCCAGCUACUGCAGCCCUGGUGGCGUCUCCCUGGGGGUGCCCGGGUGCAGGUGUCCGCUGCCGGGCCGUGGGUGUCUCAUUCUGUGUCCGGACCUCUCUGUGAUGUGAACCUUGGGCUUUUUUUUUUUUUUUUUUUUUUUUUCAGAUGUUAAGGGAGUCCACCACAUGUUUCCAUGGUAACGGCUCCUUUUCCUGGUUUACUGGAGGGUUCUGACGGUCAAGGCCUCCUGUGUAUUGACUGGGUUAUCGCCUGGGGGUUUUAUUGCUUUGUCUUUUACAUUUAGUUUUACUGUUCCUGGAACUGAAUUUGUUUGUGAUGUGAGUCAGAAAUCCUGUCACAUUUUUCCACGUGGAUAUCCAGGGCCCCCGCCGUUUGUGGGAAGGCCGCACCUUCUGCCCGCUCUGCUGUCCAUCCGCGUGCCCAUCUCCAUGGGUUUCUCUCUGCACGGCUUGUUCUGUCCUGCAUGUCCAUCCUUGAGAUCGUUUUUCUCUGGCUUAAUGAUUACAGCUGUACGGUGAGUCUACAGUUAUUCCAAGUUUAUUUAGACAAGAUUUUCUUAACCUUGUAAAUUAUUCUAGGGUUUUUUAUAUUAUUAUUAAACCCAUAGGACUCUUUGGUGAAAACUGACAUAGUUAAAAUGGUUGAGUCUUUCAGUUCAAUUAGGUCUUUCUUUUCUGUAAUAUUUUCUGGACUUCUCCAUUCAAGUCUCAUGCAUUUUUUUGUUAGGAGUGUUGCUAAGAUUUAACUUUUCUAACCCACUGUAAAAGUGUUACCAGGGGGUCCUUGCUCCCAGAACUCCUAAGAUGGUGGCAGGUCGCUUCCAAAAUGGCGGCGGCCCACUUCCAAGAUGGUGGCAAGCCUACUGUUCUCUGACCUGGGGUUCUUGGCCUCACGGAUUCCAAGGAAUGGAAUCUUGGGCCAUCCGGUGAGUGUUACAGCUCUAUUAGAAGCCGUGGGUCACGGAAGAGAACCAUGGAACCCAGUGACUAGUGUUCAGCUCAAUUAGGACGAACUGAGGCACUUAGCCAUGCAGAAACAAUGGCAAGACCUUAGCCUGAUCCAUCGGGAGUGGCAAUGGGCGCCUCGCUGGAUCAGGAGCACAGCGGACACCCUGCCGGCUCUGGAGAGAUGGAAGUCAGCGGCGGGUCUACGACGGCAGCAAACAGCAGUGGUGGAGGGCGAGCGAAAGCUCAGCUCCAGCCGUAACAAACACGGACCAGAAGAGUGCAGUUGCAAGAUUUAAUAGAGUGAAAUAGAGUGAAAACAGAGCUCCCAUACAAAGGAAGGGGACCCAAAGAGGGUAGCCAUUGCCAGCUCCAAUGCCUGGGUUUAUAUCCCAAUCACUGUCCCUCCCGCUGUGCUCUCAGGCAGUAGAUGAUUGGCUAUUUCUUUACCUCCUGUUUUUGCCUUAUUAGCAUUUUAGUGAGCUCUGUGAUUGGUCAGGUGUGAGCUAAGUUGCAAGCCUGGUGUUUAAAGGUGGAUGUGGUCACCUUCUCAGCUAGGCUUAGGGAUUCUUAGCCUAGGAAAUCCAGCUAGUCCUGUCUCUCAAAAGUAUCUUUUACAUUUUAUUUUCUAAUUGUUUAUUGCUUGUAUGUUAAAAUAAAGUGAAUAUUUAUGUUGAUUUUUAUUCAGCAUCUUGUUAAAAUUCAGUUGACUUUACAAAUUCAUUUUCAUACUUUAUUGUAUACUUUAUAUAUACAAUCAUGUGAUCUGUGUAUAAAGGUGGGUUUUUAUAUUUCUCUCCAAUUCUUACACAUUUUCUGUUGUUCCAGUUUCAUUUUCAUGGCUGGGAUCUGCAGGACGAGCUUACAUAUAGGUCCUUGCUGAUUUUUUUGCCUGCCUUUUCCAUUAGUUCCUGAGACAAGCAUUUUAAAACCAAACAACAUAACUGAGGAGCUGUCUGUCACCCUUCGUGAUUCUGAAAACACGUGCUGCAUGUGUUUUGAGGUUGUUAUUUGGAGCAUGUGCAUUUACAAUUGUCUUACUGCCUUUGCAGUUUGAGUUUUUAUUAAAUGUUUCUCUUCAUCUCUGGUCAUGCUUUAUGCCGUAGAGUCUGUUAUUAGCAGAGCUACUCCAGGUUUAUUUUUCAUGAUAUUAUUUUCACUUCUUUUUACUUUCCAACUUUUAUAUCAUUAUGUUGAAGGUAUCUCUUUUGUUAAUCACAUAGUUGCAUUGUGUUUUCUUUUUUCAAAUAUGUAUGAGCAGCAUAAAAUUGGAUGUUCCUUUGAAACAACAGCAGUCAGAAGUCCAUGAGGAGGUGUCUUCUGACUGCGAGGAUAAGGGUGGAUCACCUUAAUGCAAUCAGGGAAUGAUGUGUUAGAAGCAUCUAUAGUUCCUGCUUCCCCUAAUUUCUAGCUGUAGCCAUUUGAAGAUUCUAAGCAAGUCCUCAACUGUUCAGCAGAGCCUCUGGUCCAGCAUGAGACCAAAACCCAGGAGCUGGUCUCGCCCUUGGCCCUCCUAACUCUCCAGCGUGUCCAGCCUGACUGGGAGAAACGUCCUGUUCAGGUGUUUGGUUGUCUAAGUGCUUCCCGCGGGGACGCCGGGCCUGAGCCUCUGUGAGAAGGGGAGAUCCCUGUGCAGUGUGGACCAACUUCUUUCCCUUUUCCAGGCUCCCAGUUUCUCCGCCUGUGCUGAGACCUUGUUUCCCAGGACCUCGGUGGACUUGGCUUUCAUGACUGGUGCCUCACCCCAGCACAUGUGCCUAAAAUAACAGAAAAAUACAGUGCCUGCAUGUUGGGAGCAAGCCCCCCAAAGUCUGGCCCCAAAACUGGCCAUAAAUAAAAUCUCUGCAGCAAUGUAACAUGUCCAUAAUGGCCAUAAAGCCCAAGCUGGAAGGUUGUGGGUUUACAGGAAUGACGGUAAGGAACACCUGGCCCGCUCAGGGCGGAAAACUGGUUAAAGGCAUUUUUAAGCCAUAAACAAUUAGCCUGAGCGAUCUGUGCCUUAAGGGCGUGUUCCUGCUGCAAUUAAUUCAGCCCAUCCCUUCGUUUCCCUUAAGGGAUACUUUCAGUUAAUUUAAUAUCCAUAGAAACAAUGCUAAUGACUGGUUUGCUGUUAAUAAAUAUGUGGGUAAAUCUCUGUUCGGGGCUCUCAGCUCUGAAGGCUGUGAGACCCCUGAUAUCCCACUUUACACCUCUGUAU
rnacentral:lncRNA from 10 species